CAGAUUUGGCGGGAUAUCGGGCCUUCCUGCGAGAUCUUGCAGGGAACCCACGCGCAAACAAUGUUCUCAAGGAAACGAGGGAGAAAUGUAUGCUUUAAGUGUGGAAGUUUAGAUCAUUUUAGAAUUGAUUGUCCUCAGAACAAGGGUGCCGAGGUUAGACAAACAGGCCGUGCCCCAGGAAUAUGUCCCCGGUGUGGGAAGGGCCGCCACUGGGCAAAGGAUUGUAAGCAUAAAACAAGGGUUUUGAGCCGCCCGGUGCCGGGAAACGAGGAAAGGGGUCAGCCCCAGGCCCUGAGUUACUCAAAGAAGACAGCUUAUGGGGCUAUAAAUCUGCUGCCCAGCCAACAAGAUCAGUUCUUGAGCUUGUCAGGUCAAACCCAGGAAAUGCAAGACUGGACCUCUGUUCCACUGUCCAUGUAGC
rnacentral:lncRNA from 1 species